rnacentral:hammerhead_ribozyme from 1 species
CCAUUGCUGAUGAGACCCAAACAGGUUGAAACAGCUGUGCAGUGC